AUUUGGGAGUAUUCCUUAUCACAAAUCUUAUGAAAGUGCACGUAAAGAUGGGCUUUGGCAAUGCUAACUUUUCUACUGAUUAUUUGCAAGCUGGAAUUCCUACUGAUAAUGGGAGUGAAAACAGAGGGCAACUUGAAGAAAGGGCUUUAGGGCAUUGUGAAUAACAAGCAAACAUCAGUGAGUACAAGGGAAGAAAACUACUCUGGAAGAGAAAUGGUCUGCUAAGGGGAAUUUUCUCACCUUUUGCUGCAGAAUGGAGAGAAAGGGGAAAUGCCAACACUGUUAAGAACUGAGAGAAGGAAGGUAAAAAGGCUGCUGGGACCUCUGCUACCCUCCCUCAAAUCAGGAUUGCAGUGUUUAUGGGCAUCCAGGAGGCAGUUCUUGUGCCUGGCAGGCCCUGUUGGGACUGAUCUAAAAGGAGCAGAAAACACAUUUUACAAGGCAAGUGCGAUCAGCUGCAUCCCAAACCAGUCAGUGAAUUAUUUAGAAAGAGUUAGACUAAAGAGUUGUAGGCUGGUUUUAUACAACUAUUAGUUGCAUGCAAUUCUGUGGACUUGUUUAAACACAGGAAAUAUGUUAAGGACCUCAAGUUUGUGCACUCUAGUUGGAAACACAAAUCAGGCCUAUUUUCCACUGUGUGUUCUGAUACUUGUUAAGAUAUACUUUUCAACUUAGCGUUAGGUAAACACUAAAUAACUGUUAUCAAUGCACAUAAGCAAAAACAAACAUGUAUCAUUUAGAAACAAGACACAAAGAUUUAACAAAAUGCAUUUAAUAAAUUCAUUUUGUUUACAACGAAACAAAUAACUCACUAAUUUUUAAUAGACUUUUUGGUGGGUAAAAGGCUUUUUGAGACCCCUGCUGACAGCAGAGGAGAACUGCAUCCAGGUGUUCAUUACUAGAAACUCAAUACAUAAUUCUCCUCAUUAGCAGAGACAUCUUAAAUAUAUGUCAGUUUUGAGAUGUGGAAGAUAUAUUACCAUAAGAUAAACAUAUACAUGUGAAUUACUGAAAAGAAACCUAUUUACAUAGGGCUUUCUUUUUGCCUUAAGGUUUAUAGUUCUCUUAAAAUUGCUACACGUGUUACAUAAUUUCAAAUUUGUAUUUUGGUUUAUCUUUUAACAGCAUGAAAACUACACAACUCUUUAGAAACAUACCUAUUGCAAGAACAAGCAUACUUAGGAUUUUCAAAGAGGUGGUAUUCUAAUAAAAAAUAACAAUACUAAUUUUACAUGAAAAAUGCAUGUAUUUCAACAAUUUUAUCAAGGGCAUAUUUUGUGCUAGAUACUACUCUAUGUGUUAGAAAUAUAAACAACGGUAUAAGAUGCUUUCAGAUUGCAGUAAGUGGAAAAAAAUAUAACACGGAAAGGAAAAAGAGUAAUGAGAAGGUAACUACACAGGGGAGUGAUCAGGGAUUGCUUCACUGAAGUUGUAAAAUGUAAACUGAAACUAUAUCCUGAUUUUAAAAAUAGCCUUGUAGAUGUUUUAGGUAAAGAGCAGCAAGCAAACAAUGCCAAAGUUAAGAGCAGAGGGUAAUCAUGUAAACACAAAGGUUGUAUAUAAUAGAAAUCAUGUGUGGCUCAGCUUCCACUAGGUAACCAAGUUGGGUCUUUGUGUUCUCCUCUCUUAAAGGAAUCUAGGUGUGUUAAAAAAAAUAUCAGACAAAAAAAACUUUACAACAGUCCUUAGGCUACCUUUAAACCUGCGACUAGUUUCUGAACUUCUUUUAAAUAGCAGUCUCAGAAAAUUAUUGAAGACUGUACCUACUCAAAGGUUUUUCUGAUAAUACGAAAAACAUACACUGAUAUACUAUGUGAAAGGCCUAUGUAUAGUAGAUGCUCAGUAAUUUUUCAUUAUUCUUUCCUUUGUUUCAAGGGUUUUCUGGGCCUCACCUGGCUAGUAAUUCUCAGCUCAGCUGUGACAGUCAAUGGGAGGUAGUGGAGUAAUGAUGUCCAGAGGGCAGGCAGGCGGCUAAGUGUGAAGUUGAGUUAGAAAUACCCAAGAACAAAGAUGCCACUUAGUCCUCUUUGUAAACCCCAGGUCUAACAUGGGGCCUGACACAGAGUAAGGAUAAAUAAAAAUGAGACUCAGAAAUAACUAGCUCUGGGUAAUCGACAUAAGGUAUUAUACGGCCCUCAAGUCAUGUGAAAAAAUGAUCAAGACUUAAUGAUUUCAAUGGCUCCCAAACACUAACGAUCUGUGAGGCUGUCAUUUCAUUGUUUUGU